UGGCCAGAGCCCUCGAUGGGGAAAUGGAGC
rnacentral:piRNA from 1 species